CAUGUACUCCCUCUGUCCAAUAAAAAAUGUCUCAAGUUUGUCAAAAUUUGGAUGUAUCUAGACAUGAAUUUGUGUAUAGAUGCAUUCAAAUUUGGUCAAAGUUGAGACAUCAUUUGUUUGAUGGAGGGAGUAGCUA
rfam:Brachypodium distachyon strain Bd21 chromosome 2, whole genome shotgun sequence.